UCAAGUAAGUAAGGGCGUACGGCGGAUGCCUUGGCUAUAUCAGCCGAAGAAGGACGCGAUAAGCUGCGAUAAGCUGCGGUGAGGUGCAAGUAACCGUUGACCCGCAGAUGUCCGAAUGGGGAAACCCGGCGUGAGGAGUCACGUCAUCCUCUCAGGAGGAAGGGCACCCGGUGAACUGAAACAUCUAAGUAGCCGGAGGAAAAGGAAUCAAGAGAGAUACCCUGAGUAGCGGCGAGCGAAAGGGGCAGAGCCCAAACCGGGAUGGGAAACCAAUCCGGGGUUGCGGACUGCGAUAAACUGCAGGAGCGAAGCAGAAUGAGCUGGGAAGCUCAGCCAGAGAGAGUGAGAGCCUCGUAAGCGCAAGCAGAUGCAGGGAGCAGGAUCCAGAGUACCACGAGACACGAGGAACCUUGUGGGAAGCAGGGGGGACCACCCUCCAAGGCGAAACACUGAUAUAGACCGAUAGCGCAUAGUACCGUGAGGGAAAGGUGAAAAGAACCCCGGGAGGGGAGUGAAAGAGAACCUGAAACCGUAUGUCUACAAGCAGUCGGAGCACUUUAUAGGUGCGACGGCGUGCCUAUUGAAGAAUGAACCGGCGAGUUGCUUCAUCCAGCGAGGUUAAGCAGGAAAUGCGGAGCCGCAGCGAAAGCGAGUCUGAAGAGGGCGAGAAGUUGGAGGGAGCAGACCCGAAACCACAGUGAUCUACCCAUGUCCAGGUUGAAGCACAGGUAAAAAUGUGUGGAGGACCGAACCAGUGAGCGUUGAAAAGCUUUUGGAUGAGAUGUGGGUAGGGGUGAAAUGCCAAUCGAACGUGGAGAUAGCUGGUUCUCCCCGAAAUAGCUUUAGGGCUAGCCUCAUGGAGAGAGUACAGGCGGUAGAGCACUGAACAGGGUAGGGGCCUAUCCGGCUACUGAACCUAAUCAAACUGCGAAUGGCUGUACUUAUACAUGGGAGUCAGACUGCGAGUAAUAAGACCCGUAGUCAAGAGGGAAACAGCCCAGACCAACAGCUAAGGUCCCCAAUGCCGUACUAAGUGGCGAAGGAUGUGGAAUUUCGAAAACAACCAGGAUGUUGGCUCAGAAGCAGCCACCAUUAAAAGAGUGCGUAAUAGCUCACUGGUCGAGAGACUCUGCGCCGAAGAUGACCGGGGCUGAAGUACGGAACCGAAGCUUUGGCAUGUACGAGAGUACAUGGGUAGGGGAGCGUUCCUGCAUGGGAGAAGCGGUACCGGAAGGAGCCGUGGACAGGCAGGAAGAGAGAAUGCCGGUAUGAGUAGCGAAAAGAAAGGUGAGAAUCCUUUCCACCGAAAGCCUAAGGGUUCCUGGGCAACGCUCGUCGUCCCAGGGUAAGUCGGGGCCUAAUCCGAGGCGGAGACGCGUAGGAGAUGGACAACAGGUUGAGAUUCCUGUACUGCAGACGCUCGAUUGAGCGAAGGAGUGACGCAAGAAGGAAAGCGCGCGUGCGAUUGGAAGAGCACGUCCAAGCAGGUAGGUCGGGAGACAGGCAAAUCCGUCUCCCAAAAGGCCGAGAUGUGAUGGGGAGCUUCUGGAGACAGAAGCGAAGGGGCCGGGACUAUAUUGCCAAGAAAAGCUUCUAGUGAGAACGGAUGCACCCGUACCGAAACCGACACAGGUAGGCAGGAAGAGAAUUCUAAGGUGCGCGGGAUAACCCUCGUUAAGGAACUCGGCAAAAUAUAUCCGUAACUUCGGGAAAAGGAUAGCCUGUAGUCAGUGAAGUGCAGAAGCGCACGGAGCUAAGGCAGGCGGCAGAAGAGAGGCCCAAGCGACUGUUUACCACAAACACAGGCGUCUGCUAAAGGGAAACCUGAUGUAUAGAUGCUGACACCUGCCCGGUGCUGGAAGGUUAAGAGGACUUGUUAGCGCAAGCGAAGCAGAGAAUUGAAGCCCCAGUAAACGGCGGCCGUAACUAUAACGGUCCUAAGGUAGCGAAAUUCCUUGUCGGGUAAGUUCCG
rnacentral:rRNA from 1 species